rnacentral:rRNA from 1 species
AGCGAACGCUGGCGGCAGGCUUAACACAUGCAAGUCGAGCGGGCCCUUCGGGGUCAGCGGCAGACGGGUGAGUAACGCGUGGGAACGUGCCCUUCGGUUCGGAAUAACUCAGGGAAACUUGAGCUAAUACCGGAUACGCCCUUAUGGGGAAUGGUUUACUGCCGCAGGAUCGGCCCGCGUCUGAUUAGCUAGUUGGUGAGGUUAUGGCUCACCAAGGCGACGAUCAGUAGCUGGUCUGAGAGGAUGAUCAGCCACACUGGGACUGAGACACGGCCCAGACUCCUACGGGAGGCAGCAGUGGGGAAUAUUGGACAAGGGGGGCAACCCUGAUCCAGCCAUGCCGCGUGAGUGAUGACGGCCUUAGGGUUGUAAAGCUCUUUUCUCCGGGACGAUAAUGACGGUACCGGAGGAAUAAGCCCCGGCUAACUUCGUG